UCUGACACGAGCGUAAUGAGACUGAUACCUUGCAUAUCUGCAUCCACUUUUGCUACUGGAGAUUCUAAAAAGACAUGGAGAACACAAUCAAAGAAUGGCUAAGGUAUGCCAAGGACAGGGAUGAGGGAGGAAGAAACGGACACAGAAGAAAAGAAGGGGGAGGAGGAGACUCGGGAAGAGGAAAUGGAGACUUAGGAGAGGGAUCAGAUGGAAAGUGGCAGUGCCUAACUUUUUUCUGUGAUAUAGUGUGACAUACCUGUAGUUCUACCCUUUUUUGUGUGUUUGUCGGUUAUAAACAUGAUGCAGAUGCCAGAAACAUUUUUUUGUGUAAGUAAACAAAAUGACGGGAUUCAUUUUAGUAUUAUUUUAAGAACAGGAGGGCUUUGUUUAUUUGUUAGACGUGCUUAUUGAUACCUGUAAUUUACUGAACUUGUGCAUAAUUUACAUCAGAGAGGGAGUAUACAGUCAUGUAAUCCUACAUGUAUCGCUUGAAGUGAGCAUCAACUUUUAAUUCUUUAUUAAUGUUUUCUUCAUGCACUGCGUAAUAAAAUUAUGGUAUGUUAUAAUUUAAUUUUAUAUUUUGAUUUCUUUUUCCUCAGUUUUUAAUUAAUGUAGAGCUACUUACAAGGCAAUACUUGUUGAUGGCAAUUCUAUGAGAAUAUUGAGAAUAUGUAUUAAACUAUUAAUCUAGCAUAUAUAGCAUAUAUAGAUAGUAUUAAAGGGCUUUUACCAUUAAACUGUACUACAAAACUA